CCGAGGACCCGACGGAGCUACACCCGCUAGUUCAGCCAGGAGGCCCUGCGCGGCUCCGGGGAGAGCUGGGUGGUUAUGCCACCUCAUUAGACACAUUGGUGGACGAUGCCGCGGAUUAGCGGGUUGGCUCUCAGGGCGGGGCGCAGGCUUUCUCACUGAUCCGGGAGCGUGGGAGCAGGGGCAACGCGGGGCCAUCCGGGAGCUGCCCGCCUGCUUCGCAGUUGGCUUUCCGGGCCCUCGAGCAACGUCUGACUUUGCCCUUUGUUUUUAAACACCAUGCAGGAUGGUUUGUGUACAAACGAAGCCGUGUCACUUCUCAAGUGUCGGUGCUCAACGUGGCAACGCCCCUCCCGCCCCCAGUACAGAGAUCCUGCCCAUCCACCGACAAUCCCCCUCCUCAUCUUCCUUCCCCCAGGUGCGAGUGAUUCAAGGAAAUCCGACUGGAGGGAACACACGCUGCGAUGCACCCUCUCCUCUUCCAUUGAGCCAGGGGUGACCUUGAGAGACUCAGGCCACCUCACCAGGCUCUACCAGGAACAGCGUCUACAGCUGGUAGAGAGCACGGGCUGCAGAGAGAAAUCAAUACAGAACUCUGGAACCCACUGCUUUAGAAGAUAAGAAUCUCUUUCCUGCUCCGAUCAUUCUGGCUUGCCUUGGAUUUAAGGCUCUUCCAGAAGGACCUGGCCCUGAUUCACUGGGAUAAUGUCCACCAUGUCCAGGGGCACUGCCCAGAGGGGGUACUUUUCAUAUUCUCUACCAACUAAUCUUCCACCUGCCAGCCUAGGGGGCAGUGAGUGGAGAACGCUGGGAAUUCAGGGUUGGGGAGGAGGGACAGCAACAGGAAAAGAUUGAACAUAUGUGCCAAUUAGGCCAGGAGAUGAGGACCCCAGACCCGGAAGAAGGAGGAAGAAGAAAGACACACUUGAUCUUCCUGCUUAGAAUGUUGGCAGAAGUCAUAUUCAAAAGAUAAGAGAAUCAAGACUUAUGAAACAAAAGAAAACCAAAGAAAGGCAACACGGCCGAUGCUAGGUGGGGAUUACUAGCUAGUAAAGAGCUGUCGAGUGUUUGAUGCCAUUUAUUCAUUUGAGCUCUCCAGUUGCCUAGUUUUUCAUUCAACAAGUGUCGUCUGAAGGUGUUGUGUGGACAGAACGUUGUGUGGGAUCCAAAGCUGAAACAGAUACUUAAGUCUGUGCUCUAGUAAAUAAGAUAGGACACGCAUAUUUACCCCACAGGGAGCAAUAAAUACUCUAAGACCAUUACAAAUUGUUCUGGGAGUUCAGAGGAGGGAAUUUAUUUCUAGUCCAGAGCAAUGAAGGGUGACCUCCUGGAGGAAGUGGCAGUUGAAUGGGGGCCUUGAAGGAUGGGUGAGAUUUAAACAUGCAAACUAUCAGCAAGGGAAACGGGAGAGCAACGCAGGAGCAAACAUCAAGAUGGGAAAACACAAAGCAUGUAGGGGAAACACAAAUGCAAUAUUUUGUAUUAUGGGCGAGGCUCUACAAGAGGCACUGGAUUGCAAUGGGACUAUUGUUUCCAGGGGCCCUCUGGGCUGGUGGUCAAACUACUGGAACUAUCACUAUUUCAGACCAAGCCGGGCUCACAAGUCUUAGCUGUUCUUGCCAAUUCUUCUCCUGAAUACUCACUCCAAUAAGAGCAGUCAGGAAAUGUUUCUUGGGAAAUAGCUUCAAAGACACCAACAUACCACUAUGAACACUUAAAAUAUGGAGACAGAGCAUUUGGAGUACUGCUCCCAGCAUGUUGGAGGGAAAAGAAGCAAGACCCUUCCCAGAGCCUUGAGACAAGAGUUGUGUCAACUGUGGAUGGCUGUGCCCCAGUCACUUGAGAGACAUGAAUCAAUUUCCAGCUGCAUUUAUCACUUGCUGCCUUAAAUCAAGUCUAAUCAAUGCUUCCUUCAUUUGGUAUGGAUUGAAACUAUAUAUAACACACUCAGAAAACAGGAGAGAAAAGCAGCAGAUCACAAAAAUUCCAUCAGGGAUUUAGAUGGAAUGAUGUUAGAGAAACAUUUGCAAUCUUUCAUUUGCUCUAAUGGAGACCCCUGACCAAACAAUCAGAGAUUUGCGUUUAUGAAGCUUCAUUUGAAUUUACCUGACAUGCAAUGACAUUCCAUGACAGGUCAUUUGAUACAUUGGGGGGGGGGGGUGGUUUCUGCAUCUUUAAGGAUUUUAUAAUUAAUACACUCUUAGGAUCUGAUGUAUAUUUAUAAUUUUAUUCCUAUACUAAGUUUUAAACUCAUUUCCAUUUAUUUUAGAGAUAUCUGUUUUGUCAUCAUUGACUAUAUAAGUCAAUUUCCAGUUAUAACAUAUAAAGUAAUAAAAAUCCCUUUGUAACAAAGUAGA
rnacentral:lncRNA from 1 species